rnacentral:rRNA from 1 species
AGUGAACGCUGGCGGUAGGCCUAACACAUGCAAGUCGAACGGCAGCACAGUAAGAGCUUGCUCUUACGGGUGGCGAGUGGCGGACGGGUGAGGAAUACAUCGGAAUCUACUUUUUCGUGGGGGAUAACGUAGGGAAACUUACGCUAAUACCGCAUACGACCUACGGGUGAAAGCAGGGGAUCUUCGGACCUUGCGCGAUUGAAUGAGCCGAUGUCGGAUUAGCUAGUUGGCGGGGUAAAGGCCCACCAAGGCGACGAUCCGUAGCUGGUCUGAGAGGAUGAUCAGCCACACUGGAACUGAGACACGGUCCAGACUCCUACGGGAGGCAGCAGUAGGGAAUAUUGGACAAUGGGCGCAAGCCUGAUCCAGCCAUACCGCGUGGGUGAAGAAGGCCUUCGGGUUGGAAAGCCCUUUUAUUGGGAAAGAAAAGCAGCAGGUUAAUACCCCGCUGUUCUGACGGUACCCAAAGAAUAAGCACCGGCUAACUUCGUG